rnacentral:lncRNA from 1 species
AAGAAAAGUGCAAAUGUGUACAGAAUAGUUAGCACUGUAGUUAUGAAGUUUGGAUACUACUUUACCAAAUUUAAUAGAAAAAUGUGUGGGAUUUUUUUUAGUUUUAUCACCAUAGCAACCGAUUUUUUCCUUGGAAACGGAGUUUUCAUUUGCAGAAUAUCGCAGUUUAAGAGCUUAAAUGUCCUGAAUUGUUUUAUAACCGAUAAGAAAAUACAUAAAAGCUAACGCAAACUUUAAAUUACUAUCGUCAAGUGUUGUUGACUUCAAUUGUUACCACGGAAAGACAUAUUAUCCAUAGC